UGGGGAAUAUUGGACAAUGGGCGAAAGCCUGAUCCAGCCAUGCCGCGUGUGUGAAGAAGGUCUUCGGAUUGUAAAGCACUUUAAGUUGGGAGGAAGGGCAGUUACCUAAUACGUAUCUGUUUUGACGUUACCGACAGAAUAAGCACCGGCUAACUCUGUGCCAGCAGCCGCGGUAAUACAGAGGGUGCAAGCGUUAAUCGGAAUUACUGGGCGUAAAGCGCGCGUAGGUGGUUUGUUAAGUUGGAUGUGAAAUCCCCGGGCUCAACCUGGGAACUGCAUUCAAAACUGACAAGCUAGAGUAUGGUAGAGGGUGGUGGAAUUUCCUGUGUAGCGGUGAAAUGCGUAGAUAUAGGAAGGAACACCAGUGGCGAAGGCGACCACCUGGACUGAUACUGACGCUGAGGCACGAAAGUGUGGGGAUCAAACAGGAUUAGAUACCCACGUAGUCCCUGAGCGGGCUGGCAAGGCGCAU
rnacentral:rRNA from 1 species